CCUACGGGUGGCUGCAGUGGGGGAUAUUGCGCAAUGGGGGAAACCCUGAUGCAGCAACGCCGCGUGAGUGCAGAAGCGCCUCGGCGCGUAAAGCCCUUUCGGCAGGGAAGAAAGUAACGGUACCUGAAGAAUAAACCCCGGCUAACUACUUGCCAGCAGCCGCGGUAAGACGGAGGGCGCGAGCGUUAUACGGAUGUACUGGGGGUAAAGGGGACGCAGACGGCGAUGCAAGCCAGGAGUGAAAGCCCGGGGCCCAACCCCGGGACUGCGCUUGGAACUGCGUGGCUAGAGGGCAGGAGGGGGAGGCGGAAUUCCUGGUGUAGCGGUGAAAUGCGUAGAUAUCAGGAGGAACACCGGAGGCGAAGGCGGC
rnacentral:rRNA from 1 species